rnacentral:rRNA from 1 species
AGCGAACGCUGGCGGCAGGCCUAACACAUGCAAGUCGAACGGAUCCUUCGGGAUUAGUGGCGGACGGGUGAGUAACACGUGGGAACGUGCCCUUUGGUUCGGAACAACUCAGGGAAAAUUGAGAUAAUACCGGAUGUGCCCUUCGGGGGAAAGAUUUAUCGCCAUUGGAGCGGCCCGCGUCGGAUCAGCUAGUUGGUGGGGUAAAGGCCCACCAAGGCGACGAUCCGUAGCUGGUCUGAGAGGAUGAUCAGCCACAUUGGGACUGAGACACGGCCCAAACUCCUACGGGAGGCAGCAGUGGGGAAUCUUGCGCAAUGGGCGAAAGCCUGACGCAGCCAUGCCGCGUGAAUGAUGAAGGUCUUAGGAUUGUAAAAUUCUUUCACCGGGGACGAUAAUGACGGUACCCGGAGAAGAAGCCCCGGCUAACUUCGUGCCAGCCGCCGCUGUAA